rnacentral:rRNA from 1 species
UACGAAGGGGGCUAGCGUUGCUCGGAAUCACUGGGCGUAAAGCGCACGUAGGCGGAUUGCUAAGUCAGGGGUGAAAUCCUGGAGCUCAACUCCAGAACUGCCUUUGAUACUGGCGAUCUCGAGUCCGGGAGAGGUGAGUGGAACUGCGAAGUGUAGAGGUGAAAUUCGUAGAUAUUCGCAAGAACACCGGUGGCGAAGGCGGCAUCCUGGACCAAUUCUGACGCUGAGGAGCGAAAGCCAGGGGAGCAAACGGG